rnacentral:misc_RNA from 1 species
CUGCUACCAAGUCAUCAAGGAGAAGAAAGUUGCCUUUCUUGUAAUUGCCGGUGAAGUAUGUAUGUAAUCCAUCGAUUUGAGUUCCCCUUUAACAUACUUGAGCACUCUUGAGGGUUUCAGGACUGGCAUUUCUAGCUCCUGGGGUACUGAUAGACAAGACCUUCUGCUACACUCCUUGCCCUUGCAUGCCCGAAAAGCUUGCUCACAAUAGCCAGUGCAAACUGUAUCGCUGUAGCAAGUCCCUGGCUUGUGAUGAGUUUACCAUCGAUAACUACCUGAGCAUCAUUUACCCCGUCUUUGAGCUUGUCUAAGACAGCAGGAUGUGCAGUGG